rnacentral:rRNA from 1 species
CCUACGGGAGGCAGCAGUGAGGAAUAUUGGUCAAUGGACGCAAGUCUGAACCAGCCAAGUAGCGUGCAGGAUGACGGCCCUCCGGGUUGUAAACUGCUUUUAGGUGGGAAUAAAAGGGGGCGCGUGAGCCCCGUAGUGUAUGUACCAUCAGAAAAAGGACCGGCGAAUUCCGUGCCAGCAGCCGCGGUAAUACGGAAGGUACGGGAGUUAUCCGGAUUUAUGGGUUUUAAAGGGAGCGUAGGCCGGCUGGUAAGUCAGCUGUGAAAGCCCGCGGCUCACCCGUGGAAUUGCAGUUGAAACUGGAGGCCUUGAUUGCACACCGGGUUACCGGACUUCAUGUUGUAGCGGU